rnacentral:rRNA from 1 species
UACGGGGGGCGCGAGCGUUGUCCGGAAUUAUUGGGCGUAAAGAGCUCGUAGGCGGUCUGUCGCGUCUGCUGUGAAAACUCAGGGCUUAACCCUGAGCUUGCAGUGGGUACGGGCAGACUAGAGUGAUGUAGGGGAGACUGGAAUUCCUGGUGUAGCGGUGAAAUGCGCAGAUAUCAGGAGGAACACCGAUGGCGAAGGCAGGUCUCUGGGCAUUAACUGACGCUGAGGAGCGAAAGCAUGGGGAGCGAACAGG